rnacentral:rRNA from 1 species
UACGUAGGGUGCAAGCGUUUGUCCGGAAUUAUUGGGCGUAAAGAGCUCGUAGGCGGUUUGUCGCGUCUGCUGUGAAAACGCGAGGCUCAACCUCGCGCCUGCAGUGGGUACGGGCAGACGUAGAGUGCGGUAGGGGGAGAUUGGAAUUCCUGGUGUAGCGGUGGAAUGCGCAGAUAUCAGGAGGAACACCGAUGGCGAAGGCAGAUCU